AAAGUGAUUAAGGUAACAAACAGAGAGUGUAUAUGCAGAAUUGCAUGAUACAUGCAGAGGAAAUCUUAUUUUAUUACUAUUACUACUGUAUAUAUAGUUAUAGUUAUUUGGAGACCACAAAAUAGUUAUUUAGAAAUUACUAAAUACAGUUAUUUAACUUAUUACUGUUAGUUUUCAAAUUAGUUUAGGUAGUUCAAUUAUUUGGAAAAUACCAAAUAACUAAUCAUUCUUAGUUAGGAAUCUUUGUAAUCAACCUAUAAAAGGGAGUAUUAUUUAGAAUAAAGGGAAGCAUAAAUUCAAUCCCAAAAAGGGUCUAAGGGAAUUUUGGGUCUCAAGCAAACCCAGUAUUUUCUUCUUUUCCUUUUCCAACUAUUAUUCUUUCUUCCUUUUUCCUUAUGUUUUCUUGCCCAUGACGGGAGCACAUAACAUUGGUUCUCCGGAAGCCUUGGUUA